UAGAGAAUGCUACUACUAUCAUGAAAAGGUCACAAUCAAUACCAUUGUAUGGAGAUAAAGGAAAAUCUUGUAGAGUGUAAAUAAUUCAAGAAGAGUCUAAAAAAUUCAAGAAGCGUCAUAGAAAAACAAAAAAAGAAUGAAUUGCUACAAUUGCAAUUACUGAUGGUGUUGAUGGUAAAUGUUUGAAUGUCGAUGAUGAUAAAGAAAAUGUAAAAGAUCCAUUAUAAGAUGAG
rnacentral:misc_RNA from 1 species